rnacentral:rRNA from 1 species
AUUGAACGCUGGCGGCAUGCCUUACACAUGCAAGUCGAACGGCAGCACGGGAGCAAUCCUGGUGGCGAGUGGCGAACGGGUGAGUAAUAUAUCGGAACGUGCCCAGUCGUGGGGGAUAACGCAGCGAAAGCUGUGCUAAUACCGCAUACGAUCUAUGGAUGAAAGCGGGGGAUCGCAAGACCUCGCGCGAUUGGAGCGGCCGAUAUCAGAUUAGGUAGUUGGUGGGGUAAAAGCCCACCAAGCCGACGAUCUGUAGCUGGUCUGAGAGGACGACCAGCCACACUGGAACUGAGACACGGUCCAGACUCCUACGGGAGGCUG